GAUGAACGCUGGCGGCGUGCCUAAUACAUGCAAGUCGAGCGAACUGAUUAGAAGCUUGCUUCUAUGACGUUAGCGGCGGACGGGUGAGUAACACGUGGGCAACCUGCCUGUAAGACUGGGAUAACUUCGGGAAACCGAAGCUAAUACCGGAUAGGAUCUUCGCCUUCAUGGGAGAGGAUUGAAAGAUGGUUUCGGCUAUCACUUACAUGAGGGCCCGCGGUGCAUUAGCUAGUUGGUGAGGUAACGGUUCACCAAGGCAACGAUGCAUAGCCGACCUGAGAGGGUGAUCGGCCACACUGGGACUGAGACACGGCCCAGACUCCUACGGGAGGCAGCAGUAGGGAAUCUUCCGCAAUGGACGAAAGUCUGACGGAGCAACGCCGCGUGAGUGAUGAAGGCUUUCGGGUCGUAAAACUCUGUUGUUAGGGAAGAACAAGUACGAGAGUAACUGCUCGUACCUUGACGGUACCUAACCAGAAAGCCACGGCUAACUACGUGCCAGCCGCCGCCGUAAUAC
rnacentral:rRNA from 1 species